ACUUGACCUCGACCUCAUUUCAUGGAUCAGUGAACAAGGUUAAGUUUUGGUGGUCAAGUCCAUAUCUCAGAUACUAUAAGCAAUAGGUCUAGUAUAUUCGGUGUAUGGAAGGACUGUAAGGUGUACAUGUCCAACUGGCAGGUGUCAUCUGACCUUGACCUCAUUUUCAUGGUUCAGUGGUCAAAGUUAAGUUUUUGAGUUUUGGUCUUUUUUUCUAAUACUAUGUGCAAUAGUUCAACUAUAUUUGGUAUGUGCGUACCUUGCAAGGUCCUCAUGCCCGUCAGACAGUUUUCACUUGACCUCGACCUCAUUUCAUGGAUCAAUGAACAAGGUUAAGUUUUGGUGGUCAAGUCCAUAUCUCAGAUACUAUAAGCAAUAGGUCUAGUAUAUUCGGUGUAUGGAAGGACUGUAAGGUGUACAUGUCCAACUGGCAGGUGUCAUCUGACCUUGACCUCAUUUUCAUGGUUCAGUGGUCAAAGUUAAGUUUUUGAGUUUUGGUCUUUUUUUCUAAUACUAUAUGCAAUAGUUCAACUAUAUUUGGUAUGUGCGUACCUUGCAAGGUCCUCAUACCUGUCAGACAGUUUUCACUU